GCAAAGGUGAAUUAUUUUUAAUAAUCUUCUAUGUUAACAUUUUAUUACCUUCUAGUUUUAAUUUGUUUUACAGAUUGUUACACGUGAUUUUAUGCUCUUUUAAACGUUUAUAAAUGUACUGCUUUUGUUUUUUAUAGAGCUCACAGCCGCAGUGUGUGUCUUGUGACACAGGGACCAUGAUGGAAAUUCAUCUUCCAGAAAGUCCCAGAGCAGCAUCCACACCCCUGAAAAGACCAAGAUGUGAGGUGUCUGCUGUUGAUUCCAGCUUCCACCUCAGUGACAGUGCAAGCUCAGUGAACUGUUCAAGGAGGCUACUGAUUCUGGCCCUGUGACACUUGGUGGUGACGUGUGAGCUGAUUCACCUGGACACUCAGCAAAAUAUGGACUCUACACCAUGAGGCAGGCACACGUUAAUACUCUAUAAGAGCGCAUAAGAUGAGCAACACCACAGAUUAUUUUUAUUACUGUACACUGUCCUGGAUUUGUUUUCUUUCUGCAUGAUUUGUUUUCUUUCUGCAUCUCAUCAUUAGCCUGGCUGAUCACCUGAUAACUCCUGUCAUCUGGUUAUGACAGCAUGAGGAUGUCCUCACACACCUGUAACCAAUCAGCUCAUCUGGCAGAAUAGAGAGAAGAGACAACACCACAUCUCCUGUUCCUGGAAAGCCUUCAGCCAUCCUUCGAUGACUGAGAACCUCCAUCAGCUCUGUCUCCUGUCUGCCCACAAUUAUUAUAAUAAAUAUUGUGUUUGACAAGUUU